rnacentral:rRNA from 1 species
GACGUAGGGCGCGAGCGUUGUCCGGAUUUAUUGGGCGUAAAGAGCUCGUAGGCGGCUUGUCGCGUCGUCCGUGAAAACCCACAGCUCAACUGUGGGCUUGCGGUCGAUACGGGCAGACUUGAGUUCGGCAGGGGAGACUGGAAUUCCUGGUGUAGCGGUGAAAUGCGCAGAUAUCAGGAGGAACACCGGUGGCGAAGGCGGGUCUCUGGGCCGAUACUGACGCUGGGGAGCGAAAGCGUGGGGAGCGAACAGG